rnacentral:rRNA from 1 species
GAUCCUGGCUCAGGAUGAACGCUAGCUACAGGCUUAACACAUGCGAGUCGGAGGGGAAACGACAUCGAAAGCUUGCUUUUGAUGGGCGUCGACCGGCGCACGGGUGAGUAACGCGUAUCCAACCUGCCCAUCACUUGGGAAUAACCUUGCGAAAGUAAGACUAAUGCCCAAUGAUAUCCCACGAAGGCAUCCGAAUGGGAUUAAAAGAUUUAUCGGUGAUGGAUGGGGAUGCGU